GAUGAAGAACGCAGCGAAAUGCGAUAAGUAAUGUGAAUUGCAGAAUUCAGUGAAUCAUCGAAUCUUUGAACGCACAUUGCGCCCGCCAGUAUUCUGGCGGGCAUGCCUGUUCGAGCGUCAUUUCAACCAUCAAGCCCCAGGCUUGUGUUGGGGUCCUGCGGCUGCCAGGCCCUGAAAAACAGUGGCGGGCUCGCUGUCACACCGAGCGUAGUAAUACAUCUCGCUUUGGACGUGCGGCGGGUUCUUGCCGUUAAACACCCCCCUUCUCAAGGUUGACCUCGGAUCAGGUAGGAAUACCCGCUGAACUUAAGCAUAUCAAUAAGCGGAGGA
rnacentral:misc_RNA from 1 species